AUUGAACGCUGGCGGCAGGCCUAACACAUGCAAGUCGAACGAGUGGCGGACGGGUGAGUAAUGUCUGGGAAACUGCCUGAUGGAGGGGGAUAACUACUGGAAACGGUAGCUAAUACCGCAUACCAUCAGAUGUGCCCCGAUGGGAGUAGCUAGUUGGUGGUGUAACGGCUCACCACGGCGACGAUCCCUAUCUGGUCGGAGAGGAUGACCAGCAACACUGGAAUUGUGCCACGGUCCAGACUCCUACGGGAGGCAGCAGUGGGGAAUAUUGCACAAUGGGCGAAAGCCUGAUGCGGCCAUGCCGCGUGUAUGAAGAAGGUCUUCGGGUUGUAAAGUACGUUCAGCGGGGAGGCGUUACCCGCAGAAGAAGCACCGGCUAACUCCGUGCCAGCAGCCGCGGUAAUAC
rnacentral:rRNA from 1 species